CCCUUAGAUGUUCUGGGCCGCACGCGUGCUACACUGAGUGGAUCAGCGGGUCAGGUUGCGCGAAAGUGUUUCCUAAUCUUGAAAUCCGCUCGUGAUGGGGAUUGACGGUUGCAAUUUUCCGUCAUGAACGAGGAAUACCUUGUAAGCGCGGGUCAUCAUCCCGCGCUGAAUACGUCCCUGCCCUUUGUACACACCGCCCGUCGCUCCUACCGAUUGAGUGGUCCGGUGAGGCUUGGGAUCUGAGCGGAAAGAGCGUUUCGCUGUUUCUGCUCGGAAAACUCAGUCGAACCUUAUCAUUUAGAGGAAGGAGAAGUCGUAACA
rnacentral:rRNA from 1 species